GUUGCCUUCAGGUGAUCACUUUGACACUCUGGACCCGCUGACUAGAUCCUGGCAGUUUUCCUGGUUUCAGAACCUCCCUCUUGACGCCGUGGAAAGUACCCACUGGUUGCCCGAGUUCCCAGACUCACCUCUCCGUUGUUUUGCAAGUAUCUCCUGGAUCCCACGGCUGGCGGUCGAACCACUCCUCUGUGUCUCCGUUGCACCCGAGCCUACCUGUCCGUUCUCCGCCGCACUCCUCCAUUGUUCCUGGACCCACUAAGAGACCGAGUCCCUGGACAUACUCAGUUACCCUCCAAGAUUCAGAUCCGACCACCACAAUGAACCACUGCUGCCCAUUACCGUUGAUUCCCUGGACCAGACCACCUUGACACUUUUUGAUAAUUGUGUACUCCUAAUAAAUCACUUAAACUGA